AACGGCGUAGUCAAGUGGUCUAAAACGCUGGCUUUAGGCACCAACCUGAAAAGGCGUAGGUUCGAAUCCCGCCGCUGUCA
rfam:Taenia asiatica genome assembly, scaffold: TASK_scaffold0003259